GUGGGGAAUAUUGGGCAAUGGGCGAAAGCCUGACCCAGCAACGCCGCGUGAAGGAAGAAGGCCUUCGGGUUGUAAACUUCUUUUAUCAGGGACGAAGGAUGUGACGGUACCUGAUGAAUAAGCCACGGCUAACUACGUGCCAGCAGCCGCGGUAAUACGUAGGUGGCGAGCGUUGUCCGGAUUUACUGGGUGUAAAGGGCGCGUAGGCGGGGAUGCAAGUCAGGUGUGAAAUCUAUGGGCUUAACCCAUAAACUGCACUUGAAACUGCAUUUCUUGAGUGAUGGAGAGGCAGGCGGAAUUCCUAGUGUAGCGGUGAAAUGCGUAGAUAUUAGGAGGAACACCAGUGGCGAAGGCGGCCUGCUGGACAUUAACUGACGCUGAUGCGCGAAAGCGUGGGGAGCAAACAGGAUUAGAAACCCUAGUAGUCC
rnacentral:rRNA from 1 species